GGAAUAUUGGGGCGUAAGGGCUCGCAGGCGGUUUCUUAAGUCUGAUGUGAAAGCCCCCGGCUCAACCGGGGAGGGUCAUUGGAAACUGGGGAACUUGAGUGCAGAAGAGGAGAGUGGAAUUCCACGUGUAGCGGUGAAAUGCGUAGAGAUGUGGAGGAACACCAGUGGCGAAGGCGACUCUCUGGUCUGUAACUGACGCUGAGGAGCGAAAGCGUGGGGAGCGAACAGGAUUAGAUACCCUGGUAGUCCACGCCGUAAACGAUGAGUGCUAAGUGUUAGGGGGUUUCCGCCCCUUAGUGCUGCAGCUAACGCAUUAAGCACUCCGCCUGGGGAGUACGGUCGCAAGACUGAAACUCAAAGGAAUUGACGGGGGCCCGCACAAGCGGUGGAGCAUGUGGUUUAAUUCGAAGCAACGCGAAGAACCUUACCAGGUCUUGACAUCCUCUGACAAUCCUAGAGAUAGGACGUCCCCUUCGGGGGCAGAGUGACAGGUGGUGCAUGGUUGUCGUCAGCUCGUGUCGUGAGAUGUUGGGUUAAGUCCCGCAACGAGCGCAACCCUUGAUCUUAGUUGCCAGCAUUCAGUUGGGCACUCUAAGGUGACUGCCGGUGACAAACCGGAGGAAGGUGGGGAUGACGUCAAAUCAUCAUGCCCCUUAUGACCUGGGCUACACACGUGCUACAAUGGACAGAACAAAGGGCAGCGAAACCGCGAGGUUAAGCCAAUCCCACAAAUCUGUUCUCAGUUCGGAUCGCAGUCUGCAACUCGACUGCGUGAAGCUGGAAUCGCUAGUAAUCGCGGAUCAGCAUGCCGCGGUGAAUACGUUCCCG
rnacentral:rRNA from 1 species